rnacentral:lncRNA from 1 species
GAAUGAUUAACUGGGAGGCGUUGCAGAUAGGGCUCCUCUAAGGGGAGGAGACGCCAGGGGGGAGAAUACAUUGCUCCAGUUCUUCAAAGACUUCAAAUACCGUUCCGAGUCAAGAAGCCAAGUUAUACAGCAGUAGGGUUCAUGCGCGCCGGAGAGUGUCCAGUACAGAAGAGGCAUUCAACAACCAACAGCCUUUGUCCUCAGCCCCAAGGAGCGGACACCGUGUUCUCAUGAACUGGUUGGCUACAGUGGCAGGGACUGAGGUCUGUGCGUGAGCAUGGACAACCACUCGCUAAAAGUGCUUCACCCACCCCCUGCCCAAUGCCGCCUCCUUUACCCCCCACCAUGAUCCUGAGAGCACUUCCCAAUAAACCUGCGCCCAGAUCCCAGCCGGAGCAAGCUGCUCACCGACUAUCUGUUGAUAGGAAUUGAACUAACCUGCCUCCAUUGCGGCCCAGGCCAUCUUCCUUCUAUGGUGAAGAGACCCAGCUGAGGCACCCAUCCAAGGCUGGUGACCCAAGCCCU